rnacentral:misc_RNA from 1 species
UCCGGUUUGUCACCGGCAGUCACUCUAGAGUGCCCAGCUUAACCUGCUGGCAACUAAAGUUAAGGGUUGCGCUCGUUGCGGGACUUAACCCAACAUCUCACGACACGAGCUGACGACAACCAUGCACCACCUGUCUCCGAUGCUCCGAAGAGGGGCACUAUCUCUAAUGCUUACAUCGGGAUGUCAAGACCUGGUAAGGUUCUUCGCGUUGCUUCGAAUUAAACCACAUACUCCACUGCUUGUGCGGGUCCCCGUCAAUUCCUUUGAGUUUCAGUCUUGCGACCGUACUCCCCAGGCGGAGUGCUUACUGUGUUAACUUCGGCACCAAGGGUAUCGAAACCCCUAACACCUAGCACUCAUCGUUUACGGCGUGGACUAC